rnacentral:ribozyme from 13 species
AAAAAGAAAUGAACAAAAAAGAACAAAAUAUGAAGAUUCUCUUUCCCAUUGUUCAAAGAUUUUCUUUUCUUCCUCUCUUUUUCUUUCUC